CUUGGUCAUUUAGAGGAAGUAAAAGUCGUAACAAGGUUUCCGUAGGUGAACCUGCGGAAGGAUCAUUAUCGACACAGCGGACUUCGGUCCUUGCUGCACCCUUGUCUUUUGCGUACCGUAUCGUUUCCUCGGCGGGCUUGCCUGCCGGUUGGACACUAUUAAACCUUUUUGUAGUUGCAAUCAGCGUCAGAAAAAUCAUAAUUAUUACAACUUUCAACAACGGAUCUCUUGGUUCUGGCAUCGAUGAAGAACGCAGCGAAAUGCGAAAAGUAGUGUGAAUUGCAGAAUUCAGUGAAUCAUCGAAUCUUUGAACGCACAUUGCGCCCUUUGGUAUUCCAAAGGGCAUGCCUGUUCGAGCGUCAUUUGUACCCUCAAGCUUUGCUUGGUGUUGGGCGUCUUGUCUCUAGCUUUGCUGGAGACUCGCCUUAAAGUAAUUGGCAGCCGGCCUACUGGUUUCGGAGCGCAGCACAAGUCGCACUCUCUAUCAGCAAAGGUCUAGCAUCCAUUAAGCCUUUUUUUCAACUUUUGACCUCGGAUCAGGUAGGGAUACCCGCUGAACUUAAGCAUAUCAAUAAGCGGAGGA
rnacentral:rRNA from 1 species